AAUGAACGUUGGCGGCGUGCUUAACACUUGCAAGUCGAACGAGAAAAUUCCUCGGAAUUAGUAAAGUGGCAAACGGGUGAGUAACGCGUGAGAAUCUGCCUUUCAGUGAAGAAUACCUUUGAGAAAUUAAAGUUAAUACUGCAUACGUCUCGAAAGAGAGAAAGAUGGCCUAAUUGCUGUCGCUGAAAGAUGAGCUUGCGUUCUAUUAGUUAGUUGAUGAGGUAAUGGCUCACCAAGACGAUGAUGGAUAGCCGGCCUGAGAGGGCGAACGGCCACAUGGGAACUUAGACACGGUCCAAACUCCUACGGGAGGCAGCAGUGGGGAAUAUUGGACAAUGGGCGCAAGCCUGAUCCAACCAUACCGCGUGUGUGAAGAAGGCCUUCGGGUUGUAAAGCCCUUUUGUUGGGAAAGAAAAGCAAUCGGUUAAUACCCGGUUGUUCUGACGGUACCCAAAGAAUAAACACCGGCUAACUUCGUGCCAGCAGCCGCCGUAA
rnacentral:rRNA from 1 species